UCCGGCUUGUCGCCGGCGGUCCCUUUAGAGUGCCCAACUGAAUGCUGGCAACUAAGGGCAAGGGUUGCGCUCGUUGCGGGACUUAACCCAACAUCUCACGGCACGAGCUGACGACAACCAUGCAGCACCUGUGUAAGCUCCCUUGCGGGUCCCUCGCCUUUCAGCUCAGUACCACUUACAUGUCAAGCCCUGGUAAGGUUCUUCGCUUAGCAUCGAAUUAAACCACACGCUCCGCUGCUUGUGCGGGCCCCCGUCAAUUCCUUUGAGUUUUAACCUUGCGGUCGUAGUCCCCAGGCGGGAUGCUUAACGGGUUACCUUCGGCUCACAGGGGGUCGAUACCCCGCAAACCUAGCAUCCAUCGUUUAGGGCGUGGACUAC
rnacentral:misc_RNA from 1 species